AAUCGUGGAAUCUGGACCGCCCGAAAUGAUACUGCUUCAAAGACUUUCAGUUGGCUUCGGUGACCAGAUUGCAACUGCCGAAAACAUUCGUCCUGGAUCUCAAGAACCAGAAUUGCCCGAAGUUGCCAAGAUAUUUAUUAAGACAACCUCGAAUUACUUCGGUGGGAUAUGUAAUCGAUGCUGUUGCAUGGGCUGCAUCCGGUGUUGUUCGAAGAUGAAUAAUCAAUGUGCCACCACGUUAACACAGCUAUGCACCGCCCUGGCAUGCAUCGGCUGCCUUCAUUGUUGCUCAGAAUCAUGUUGUCCUAACCAAGACGAUUGAUAAACACAUUACGAGAAUUAGUUGGAGUUUUUGUUUGAAUCUGGUUGCUCGAUUUUAUAGUUCAUACAACAUCGUCCACAACCUGUUUGUAUAUACAAAAUUUGUUUUAAAAUGAAUUAUUAAUUUAUAAAGAAUUUGUCAAAAAAAAUUAUGUAUAAAGAAUUAUAUACGUUUAUCCUACUUCACACAAAAUAUAAUGACACUUAAAUUUUUUUUUUAAUUUUUAAAUUGAAUUAUCAUGACAAAAGAAACCUUAAUUUAAUAUAGAGAUACAAAAAUCUCAAUUAAUUAUAAUUAAAAAUAUUUAAUUAAUGUUGUUCAAGUUUCAACACUCAUAUUACUAAAUCGAACCUCUUGAUUUCUCUAAUUAUAUAAAUCUAAUUAAAUAUGUUUUGAAAAUCUAGUCUUUGAUAUGAACUCAAUUACUACCCUUAUAAAUUCAUUAUCAUACUCUUCUGAUUUUUCACUCCCAACACUUUUUCUUUUGCUUUACUGGAUAAGAGAAGAAUGAAUAUAUUCAAUCUUUUAUUUACUGCUUUUAUUUUUUCUUUCAUCCUAUUUCAUUCGAAUGCGCUUAAUGUCACUCAUGAUUCAAGAUCCAUCAUAAUUGAUGGAAAUCAUAGAAUUAUCCUUUCGGGUUCGAUUCAUUAUCCCAGAAGUACUGCUCAGGUAAUAUUUUACAAUUGAAUUAUUCGGGGGUUUUUUUUUUUAUAAUUUGAUUUUGAAUAAUUGAUUGAUUAAUUUUUUAUUAUUAGAUGUGGCCGGAUCUUAUAAGAAAAGCCAAAGAAGGUGGAUUGGAUGCGGUUGAAACAUAUGUUUUUUGGAAUGCACAUGAGCCAACUCGUGGUCAGUAUGAUUUUAGUGGAAAUCUUGAUCUUAUUCGAUUUCUUAAAACGAUUCAAGACCAAGGUUUAUAUGCAAUUCUUCGAAUUGGACCUUAUACCUGUGCUGAGUGGAAUUAUGGGUAAAUUAAUUUAUUUUCAAAUUUUAACUAACUAUGAUAUUUAAUAAAUUAUCUAACUAGUUUUUAAUUUUUUUAUUAUUUUUUAUUAGAGGCUUCCCUGUAUGGUUGCAUAACAUGCCCGGAGUUUCUCUUCGUACUAAAAACGAUGUCUUUAUGGUAAUUCUUUUGAUUUUCAGUAACUUUUUUAAAAAACAAAAAUUCUAUUCUAUUUUUGUUUACUUUUAUAUAUAAAUAAUGUGUUUAAUUUUUGUUAUUUUUAGAAUGAAAUGAAAAACUUUACAACAUUGAUAGUUGAUAUGGUGAAAAAAGAGAAACUAUUUGCAUCUCAAGGAGGAAAUAUCAUUCUAGCUCAGGUAUAUAUGAUAAUUUUUUUAUGUUUUAUUAUUUUUAUUAUGUAUUUAAAUAAUAUCAAAAUUAAAUGUAUAUAUAUAGGUUGAGAAUGAAUAUGGAAAUGUUAUGGAACCAUAUGGAGACGAGGGGAAAUCAUAUAUUAAUUGGUGUGCCCAAAUGGCUGAUUCUCUUGAUAUUGGUGUCCCGUGGAUCAUGUGUCAACAAGCUGCUCCACCAAAGCCUAUGGUAUUGUAUUUUAUUUACUUUUUACUAUAUUAUUUUAUUUAGAAAUACAUUUUUUUUGUGAUAACGGUUGAAUUUUGAUUUCGAUUUGUUUAAUUAUAAUUGUAGCUGGAGACAUGCAAUGGUUGGUAUUGUGAUGAAUACAAACCAAAAGACCCUAAUACCCCUAAAUUGUGGACUGAAAAUUGGACUGGAUGGUGACUUUUUCUUUUUCUUCUUAAAAUUGUUCUUAAUUUAAUUUUAAUUAUAAACUUUACAUUAAAUUUUAUUUUAUUUAACUUUAGGUUUAAGAGUUGGGGUGGUGCAGACCCAUUUAGAACAGCUGAAGAUCUUGCUUACUCUGUUGCUCGAUUUUUCCAAAAGGGUGGUACACUACAAAAUUAUUACAUGGCAAGUGAUUUUUUUAAAAAAUUAAAUUCUUAAAAUUAAUAAUUUAAUUUUAUUAAUUAACCCCUUUGUUUCUCCAAUUUUUUUAGUAUCAUGGUGGUACCAAUUUUGGUAGAACUUCUGGUGGCCCAUAUAUUACCACUACAUAUGAUUAUAAUGCACCUCUCGAUGAAUAUGGUAAUUUCAUGCCUCUGAAUAUAUAUGUAUAAGUUAUAAUUAUUCUAAUUAAUUAUUAAUUUUUAUUAGGAAAUUUGAAUCAACCAAAAUGGGGACAUUUGAAGCAGCUUCAUGAUGUUCUACAUUCCAUUGAGUAUAUUCUUACAAAUGGAGACGUUAAAAAUGAAAAACUCAGCAUUUAGUCAUGGUAAUAAAAUGAAUAUAUAUAAAAAUUUAUUUGAUAAAAUAAUAAAUAUUUAUCAUUUUAUUCUAAUUAUUAUUCUUAAUUAUAUAUAUGAUUUAGGCUACUAUUUAUGAAACAAAGGAGAAAUCAAGUUGUUUUUUGAGCAAUACAAAUACCAAAAUAGAUGCAAAUGUCAACUUCGGAGGCAUUAAUUACUUUGUUCCAGCAUGGUCUAUUAGUAUCCUUCCAGAUUGUAGGGAGGAAGCAUAUAAUACCGCUAAGGUAAAUCCUAUUUUUGUGUUUUGGGUUAUUAUAAUUAUAAUAAAUAUGUUAUGAUUGUUAAUGGGUUUAUAUUUAAAAAAAAACCUAGGUUUCUGCUCAAACUUCAUUGAUGAUUAAGAAAUUGAACAAAGCUGAAGAUGAACCGAGUUCUUUGAAAUGGAUGUGGCGACCCGAGUUGAUCGAAUCUACUUCUGUUCAAGGAAGGGGAGAUGUUUCCGUUAACAAGAUUGUUGAUCAAAAGGAUAUGGCAAAUGAUGCUAGUGAUUAUUUGUGGUAUAUGACAAGGUAAAUUAUUUAACACAACUAUAUUCAAUUCAUUUAAUGUAAAUUAUAUAUAUUUUGAUUAAUUAAUUAAUUUAUUUUUUGGACAGUAUUAAUGUUGCAAAAGAUGAUCCCAUGUUGAAUGGAACAGUGACACUUCGUGUUAAUGAUACUGGUCAUGUUCUUCAUGCUUUUUUCAAUGGAGAAUAUAUCGGUAAUUAUGAACUAUGUUUUAUAUAUAUUAUAUUGAAUUCAAAAUAUAUUUAUUUGAUUAUAUAUGUAUUUGUUUUCGUAGGUUCUCAAUGGUCAAAAUAUGGUAACAACAACGUGACAUAUGUUUUCGAGAGGAACGUCAACCUAUCCCUCGGGAAAAACUUGAUAUCAUUACUUAGUGUCACUGUUGGAUUCAAGGUAUAUACAUACAUAUAUAUAUAUACAUACGACAAAUAAAAAAAACUCUAGAAUUUUAACAUAUAAUUUGAAUCAAAAUAAUGCAGAACUAUGGUCCAAUGUUUGAUCUGGUUGGAGCUGGAAUUACAUCACCAAUUGAGCUAGUUUUGAACAAAAAUGUUGUCAAGGAUUUGUCUUCAAAUAAAUGGACAUAUAAAGUUGGUUUGAAUGGGAUUUCAAACAAGUUUUUCGACACAGAUUGUGCUUCAAAAUCAUCAUCCAAAUGGGUCUCUGACCCUAUUCCGGUUGACAAGAACUUCACUUGGUACAAGGUAAUUAAAACCAAUACAUUUACUUGCAUAUAAAUGUUACAUAUAAUGUUUGAUUUUAUUAAUAUUUAUGUUUGGUUAUUUUUUUAAAUUGUAGACAACAUUCAAAGCUCCGUUGGGGAAUAAACCAGUUGUUGUGGAUUUACUAGGUUUAGGAAAGGGCAUGGCUUGGGUAAAUGGUCAUAGCCUUGGUAGAUAUUGGCCAUCUUAUAUAGCUGAUAAGCAGCUUUGUAAGACAGAGACUUGUGACUAUCGUGGUAGAUACAGUGAUAGUAAAUGUGUCUCUAAGUGCGGUGAACCUACCCAAAGAUGGUAAUCUUAAGAUUUUUACAUAUGUAAAUAUAUAUUUUUAUAUUGUUAGUAUUUUUUUCAUUAUUCUAAUUUUGUUGUUUUAUAGGUACCAUGUUCCUCGAUCAUUUCUUAAAGACAGUGAGAACACUUUGGUAUUGUUUGAGGAAUUUGGUGGUAAUCCUUCUGGUGUACAAUUCCAAACCGUUGAAAUCGGAUCGGUUUGCAUAAAUACUCACGAAGGAAAAGAAGUGGAAUUAUCAUGGCAGGAUCGACCAAUUUCAAAGAUUAACUUUGCUAGUUUUGGUAGUCCACAAGGUGUGUGCGGAUCAUUUGACAAAAGUGAAUUUGACUCGGAAGUGGAUGCUUUAUCAAUUCUUGAAAAGGUAAGUUAUUUUCAUAUUAUUUUUUAAUAUCUUGAAAUAUAUUUUUUCCAAUGAUAUAUAUUUUGAAAAUUUUAACAGGAAUGUCUGGGUAAAGAAUCGUGCUCCUUCAAAAUUACUGAAGAAAAAUUCGGAAGACCUUCUUGUGAAGUCAAAAAAUUAGCCGUGGAAGUCGUUUGUGAAGAUUUUACUCUUUAAUUUUUUUUUUAGAUUUUUCAAUAAUUUUAGGUCUUUUUAGUUUUAUUUUUUAAUUGUUUAGUUAAGUUUUUCUUUUUGAUUAUUUUAGUAAAUCAUCUUAGGUUUUGUAAUUAUAUCAAUAUAAUAAAAGUAUAUAUAUAUAUAUAUUAUUUAUUAUUUGCUUUCAUGAUAAUAUUCUCUUAUAGAUUUAAUAUACAAACUAAAUCUAAAAACUCUAGAAAGGCCAAAUGAAAUUAAUUUUGUCUAAAUUAUAAGCCAAACUUUUGGUCAUUGACAACAAUGAACAAAGACAUUUACUUGCUUUUAGGCUGCAAAAGUUGUCAUUAAUAGACUGCUGACAUGCUAUCAAACUCUAGAGGUUCAAUUCUUAUGAUUUUUCUUGUUACUGUUGGGCCUGUCGAAGACGAGAGAAACAUUUGUCACUGUAUGUAAAAACGAUAGACAAAUCAAAGAGUGUUAUGUCCAUCCAUCCAUCCAUACUUUCGGCAUAGGUAAUUUUCACGUGCUAGGGUCUCCUUUCGAUUUCCUUUUAAGUUCACUGAAUUUAGUUCUCGUUAUUGUUGAUCGAUGCUAGCUUGUUCGGUUAGUUCUUUGCACCAUAAUUGUUAGUUAACUUGUUGUUUGGGAAAUGGGAAUGUUUCAAGUUCAUUCUGUAAUCAUUAUUUCCUACAUGCUUGCCAUGAUUGGCUGGGAGAGUACGGUGCUGCUUUUGAUUUAGGCUUUAUAUUGUCAUUUUUACAUUUGAAUUAACUCAAGCCAAAUAAUUUUUUCGAUUUCCCAAAUUCUACGAGCAAAAGUCUGAACGAUAGGCUAAAUCCUUAAAUUGCAAGGAUAUACAAAAAUUUACGCCAUAUUUCAUUAAUCUUACAAAUUAUUUUUUCUGUUCUUUCAGUAUCUAUCGAGGUUCAGAUGAAUAAAUUAUUUAGCAAAGGUGUAUCUACUGUUCUCGCAAACAGCACCAUUGAUGCAUUUGAUGAUCAUGAAGAAAUAGAGGUACGUUCGUCUCCUCCUCCCGUAUCAGUUUCAUUCAUAUAUGACAUCCUAUUUACCUUACAUCUUCCUUUCUAUGCUUUUAAUUACCUGAAUAUCACUGAUAUAUAUAAUAAUGGUUAUUAUGUAUGCCGACUCGUUACUUUCUUGCAACAGCCAUUCCAAUUUAGGUCAUCUUGACAGCGUAAGACAAUACUAGUCAGCUGAUUUUAACGAUAUACCUUCCUUUGUGGGCGUGUCAUGCGUUAAAUGUUUAUUAUCUUCCAUCGGGUUGUUUAUAUUGCUAGGGUUUGACAUCAUCAUUGCUCAUUGCAAUACUAUCUGCCUCUUUUCAUCGAUAUAUAGUGUAUAUAUUUUUAAUCUGUAUACGUGAAUGAUUUGCCCAUGGAAAUUCUUCAUAAUUUCCUGUUUUCUCUAAUAGGUGUUAGCAAAACGACAGCUUGAUCUAUUAACAGCUCAGACUUGGUUUUCAGAACAUAAACGGCUGAAGAAGAAGGCUUGUUUCUAAAUAUUCUAGCAUUUUUUUCAUCCAAAACGGGUGGGAUAAUGCUUUUGGAUCGCAACUACUACUUUGAUUCGAGUACUAGCAAUGUGAAUAGUUAUUACGAAUAAUAUUAUAGCUGCUGCGCAGCGAUUACUCUUUACUAAUUGCUCAGUGGCCAGACUGAGUCAUUGGCAUUUUGAUCUCUGCAUUUCUUAGUAGUAAACAACUGAUGCUAAUGCUAUUGAUUUUGUUGUUGGCAAGUUACAAAGUUGAGCAUGUUAGAGUAACUAAUAAGACAGUUAGGCAGUUUGUUAGUUAACUAUCGGUUAGCUAUUAUUAGCAUGUAACACCCUUAACCCGUAACCGUCGCCAGAUUAGGGUUACGAGGCAUUACUGAAUAAGACACAAUUCAGCACAAACAUUUAUCACCUUUCAUGCCCCAAUGAAUAACUAUACAUUUAUAACAUUACUAAACUCAGAUGUUCACGAAUAAUUUAUACUAGAUUCGAAAAAUAUAAAUUAUAAAACCAAUUCACCUCAAAUUUAAUCAAACUAACUAAACAUAUUUUACUUAUUAUAAAAUAACAUAACAAAUUACAUAUACAUUAAAAUUCCAUUAGCCGAAACUUAUGACUAUAUAGUAAAGCAUUUGGACACUUAAAUAAGCAUCAAUCAUAUGUCACUUUCAUAUACUCAACUUACAACAAUACCCGCUUAUACAUGUUUAAACCACAACUAACCAUAUCACUUCAUAACAUUAACUAGUACCAAUAUAAUUUAUUCAUUCCUUAGAGUAUUUGGUUGCUUAUGAUUUUUGAACCUUCGACCAUACAAUACUUUAAAACUACAGUAUAGGUCAACUCCAUACAAUAUAGGUUAACUCCAUUCACGUUUUUGGGGUAUUCACCAUGUUAUAAAGGGUACCGUUGUCAGGCUACUGAUGGAAGGGUCUAUAUUUCCCGUCAUGUUACAUUUCAUGAAAAUGAAUUUCUAUUUAAAACUCUCUGCCCCAAGUCUGCAGCUUCCAUACCUUCUAUUUCACAGUCUAGUUCUAAGCUUCUUAUUAUGACACCAGUUCAUACAGCUCAGGGUACUCCAGUAGUUAAUGUUCCAAUGGUUACUCGUGUUAAUUCCUUGAAUGAGGUUUCUGUGCUCAGUGUUGAUACUCUAGUACAGUCCCCUUGUGUAAGUUUCAGCUCUAGAAGGUCUAGUUCUGGUAGGCCACAUGUGUCUUCUCCGUCACCUGCUAUCCCAGUUAAUUCUUAUGCAAUGGUUACACGUAGCAAGGCUAGUAUUUUUAAAUCGAAGGCCUACCUAAGCAAUGUAGCUUGUUUAUUGAAUGAUACUCUGCUGACAUCCAUGAAGCAAUGCAAGAUGAGUGUUGGCAAGCAGCGAUACAUAAUGAGUUACAGGUUCUUCUUCAAAAUAAAACAUAGGCUAUUUGUCCUCUGUCUGCUAAUAGGAAGGUCAUUGGAUGCAAGUGGCUGUUUAAAGUGAAAAAGAGGGCUGAUGAGACCGUGGAGAGGUAUAAGGCACGAUUGGUGGCUAAAGGUUUUUCUCAACAUGCUGGAUUUAAUUUUUGCGACAUGUUUAGUCCAGUAGUUAAGGCAACAACUAUACGGGCUGUUCUAGCUAUUGUAGUCAUAAAAAGGCUGGUCAUUAAGGCAAGUUGAUGUGAAUAAUGUCAUUCUCAAUGGGGAUCUAACAUAAGAGAUUUAUAUGGCUCAACCACCUGGGUUUGAAGUUGCAGGUGACAAUGGCCAAAAACUUGUUUGUCGACUGACCAAGGCAUUGUAUAGUCUGAGGCAAGCUCCUCGUGCAUGGUUUCAGACACUAAAGCAGUAUCUAGUGGAUUAACUUGGUUUUUGUACAUCGAAAGCUGAUCCUUCACUAUUCAUUCGAGCCUUCGAUGGAUAACUCUUGCGGCUUAUGACUCAUGUGGAUGACAUAGUAGUCACAGGCAGCUCCAUUACAGAUAUAAACAAAGUGAUAAGUCAGUUUCAUGAUAAUUUUGCUCUUAAAGACAUGGGUAGGAUCAAUUUUUUCUUGGGCAUUGAAGUGCAACAUACACCUCAGGGUCUGUUCCUUAAUCAGAAGAAAUAUGUCUCGGAAAUACUUCAUAAAACAGGCAUGGCAAUAGCUGCACCUACGCCUACACCCAUGGUGAGCACUCCCAAACUAGUUGCUUCAGAUGGUAGUCCAUCAUUUGCUGGUGGUCACUUGUAUCAGAGUACAGUUGGCAUGCAUCAGUAUUUGUGUAUUACACGUCCUGACUUAGCGUUUUGCGUGAACAAACUAAGUCAGUAUAUGAACUUGCCUAGUGAUAUCCAUUGAAAGGCAGUUAAGCGUGUAUUGAGGUACCUUAUAGGGACUAUGGAUCAUGGUUUGUUCCUCUCAAAAGGUCAGUUUAAGUUAGUGUGCUACUCUGAUGUUGACUGGGUUGCCUCUGUUGAAGAUCGACGUUCUACCACAGGAUAUGUGGUUUACCUAGAACCAAACCCGAUUGCAUGGUGCUUCAAGAAGUAAGCAGUAGUAUCCAGGUCCUCAUCUGAAGCCGAAUACCGCAUCUUAGCUAAUUGUGUAUCUGAGUUGCUAUGGGUUAAGCUGCUGUUAGAUGAAAUUGGCAUGUCAGUUUGUCAGAUACCAGUAGUAUGGUGCGACAAUGCCUCUACAGUCACCAUGACUGCAAAUCUAACUCAUCAUACUCGAAAGAAACAUGUGGAGAUUGAUCAUCACUUUGUGCGUGAAAAAGUACUUGAUGGUGUACUGCAGGUCAGUUUUGUUCCAUCCACAAGACAAAUUGCUGAUGUUCUUACCAAGCCUAUACCACUAAAACAGUUUGCUACAUUCAUACAAGAAUUGCAAGUUCGUUUCAGUAAUGACGAUAUUCAAGUUUUAAACGUUGAAGCAAAACCGGGAGAAUAUUAGAGUAACUAAUAAGACAGUUAGGCAGUUAGUUAGUUAAUUAUCGGUUAGCUAUUAGCACAUGUUAGUUAAGUUUGCUACUAUAAAUAUACAAACAACGAUUGUACUAAAUGAUAGUUUUGAUUCAAUGAAUAUUUUCACAAGCAUUGUAUCUUAACAGAGCAUACUGACUUGCAACAUCUCCCAAAUGAUCCUUCUCCAGAUAUAAAAUGCUCUUCUGGAGCUUAGAAGGUAUGCUUUUACCUCGUAUAUAUCACUAUCUUUUCUAAACAGAGUAUGCCAGGAUUUCUUCCUUUAUUUCCAUAUUUUCGCUACAAACAUUACUAAGUCUGCCUUCUCAUUCCCUGUUAAUGUUUUGGCAUAACAGAAGAAAGGCGAUCCACACAAAAUCCUGGAUUCUGAACCGCUCGAAAUGAUACUGCUUCAAAGACUUUCAGUUGCCUUCAUUGACCUGAUUGCUACUGCCGAAAACAUCCCUCAACCAUAAUUUCCGGAAGUUGACGAGUACACUUGGAAUGCUUUUUCUAAAAGAGACCGAACUCGCCACAACAAUAUCUAACACUAGUACCCGAAUUCAAGUAUUUUGCAUUUUUCCAUAGAGGUUAUUACUUAAAAUCCAACCAUGGCCAGAAAAAAUAAGGGUAAUAAAAUGGAGAAAUAUAUAAAAACCUUGAGACAAUAUACUCUAAUUUCGGAUAUAAAUAAUUUCCCAAAAAAAUUUAUAAGCUCUAAAAUUAGGACCAAAAUAAUAAAAAAAUUAAAUUUACCAUCAAACAAUAAAAAUAUUAAACAGAAUCAAGGGAGUGAAAUCUGCCGACUUUAUCUUAUAUAUAUAUAUAAAAGAAUCUGCCGACUUUUUUAUUUAUUAUAUACUUUAUAUACAGUCCAAAUGCCACGUGGAAUGAGUCAGCAGAUUUUCACUGGCCCACCUGUCUCUCUGUGUUGGGGAGGUUUAAUAUCCACUGCUUCGCGGAACCAUCGUAAAUCCCUCGCUUUGCCAAAUGGAUGCCGCCACGUUUUGAUCGGAAAGUUCAUCUUCCUCACCAUCUUCAUUUUCCUACGCAACCUAAACAUUUUAUCCAAUCGCAGUCGCGGUUGCAAUAUAUAUAAAGAAAAAACUAAUUAAUUAACUAACUAUAAAAAUGAACUCGAAAAUAGUAAACCGAAAAAAGAAAAAAAAAAUUCGGUGCUGCUCACGCCACUGCAAGAGUCCAUUUAUCGAAGUAAUCCCAGCUUUUGCAUAAAGAAGAGAAUAAAAAAAGAAAGAAAGAAAGAAAGGGUUUUUCGUUUUCGUUGUGUUUUCUUUAAUGGCGGUGGAUUUUGCAAAGGCGGUGGAGGACGGUCAGUAGUUAGCGAAACGGGUAUACUUAGGAAAAGACAGUAGAACGGUGGCGCGUCGUAUGGCACCACCGUUAAUGGAGAGGUCAACGAAUUGGUACUUACCUUCAGCUCCGAUGGUUUACGCUGUUAUAUCCGACCCGAGAACGGUUGACAACCCGGAUAUGCCGAGUUACCAGCCUUACGUGCAUGGAAUGUAUGACCCACCGGCUUUGAUUCCUCUUCAGAUGAUGGGUGUUAAUUUAAACGUGGAUUGUUAUGUGGAUACCGCUAUUAUUGUAGUUUCAGGUACGUGGAGGAUUCAUUGCGUUAUGGGUAGCCGUUCUUGUGAUUGUCUUAUUGCUGUCCCUAUGGGUAACCAGGUUAGUUCCCUCCACUUAUUAAUGGAAAAAUGGACAAAUUUUGAUCUCUUUUUUGUGUUUUUUUGGCUUACAGUUCUGUUUCUUUCUUUUUUCAGCCCAUGAAGCUCUAUUUGCCGUUUGAUUAUGAAAAUUUUGUUCAUUUCAUUUUGUUGACUUAAAAAUGGAAUCUUUAUCCUACAAAAGAGAAAUAUUAUUGAAUUCACUGUUUGGGUAACUUGAUUUUAGUGUUUGGAAUUGUGUUUAUUUAAUGUUAUCAAGUAAAUAAUAUAUUAUAUUUGGCUAACAGGGUUCAAUUCUAGGUGUUGAAGUUGAUCUUCCUACAAAAUCUUAUGUUACUGAACUGAUUGGAGAACAAGAAAGUAAGGGUAUUGGAAAGAUAGCAAGACCAGAAGAUGGAGGAUUUUUGAAGCCUCAUAUAUUUACUUUAACGAUACCGCAGGUGAUACCGAUGCUUCCAAGUUGUAACGAAUUAACUCCCUGUUGUUUUGUUUCUGAUGAAUGUUUUUUUUGUUUUUGUUUUAUAUUCUCAGAUCGAUGGUGGUACUAAUAUUUCGAUUAAGAUUCGUUGGUCUCAGAUGUUGUCGUAUAACGCGGGCCGGUUUUCGUUGACUGUACCGUUUUGUUUUCCGGAGUAUGUUACCCCUGCUAUAAAGAAAAUUUCGAAGAAGGAAAAGAUAGAAUUGAAUGUGAACUCUGGUGUAGCGAAUGGAAUCUCGUGCAAGGCAACUAGUCAUCCUUUGAAGGUUGCAUAUUUUGAUUUUGAAUCAUUGUGCUCGUGUUUUUUCUUUUUUGGCUUAUGAUGCAAUAUAUGAUUUGCUUCGUAUUUCGCAGGAAAUAAGACGCCAUGAAGGGAAGUUCAGUUUCUUAUAUGAAGCUGAAAUUUUCAAAUGGUCGACUACUGACUUCCGCUUCUCAUAUAGUGUAAGAAUCAGCAGCUAUGACCAUCUCCUGAUAUUUUCAUGAGGAAUAUCUCAACUUGUUAUCAUCGAGAUAUUGAUAAUCAUAUCUUGUCUACUUCUUUUAAUAGGUUUCUUCCGGUAACAUAUUUGGAGGCAUACUUUUGCAGUCUUUAUAUGAUUACGACCAAAGUGAUAUGUUCUGUAUUUAUCUUUUCCCUGGAAGUGAGCAGAAUAGGAAGGUGGGUGUAGCAUGUGUUUGACCUGCUCGGUUAUUCUUUUCGGUAUAUAAUCCUUAUCCUUUUUCAAAUUUGAUAGGUGUUCAAAAAGGAAGUCGUAUUUGUUGUUGAUAUAAGUGAAAGCAUGCAAGGGAGACCACUCGAGAGUACCAAGAGUGCAAUAUCUGCAGCCCUUUCUAAGCUCAGUCCAGAAGAUUCGUUUAACAUUAUAGCUUUUAGUAAUGAGGCUUUUCAAUUUUCAACAUCCAUGGAGUUGGCUUCGAAGGACGCGAUUGAAAGGGCCACUGCUUGGAUUAGUAUGAAAUAUACCGUGGGGGGCAGUACAAAUUUGUUUAUUCCACUGGAAAAGGUUAGUAACCGCCUUUGUUUUUUCGUUUAACUUCUCGUGUUUUCUGAAAUGGUUGGAGAAAUUAGAAUCUGGUUAGUAUUCCUUUCUCACGAUCAAUAGCGUGUUAUUUAUUUCUGUCAGGCGGCUGACAUGCUAUCAAACACUCGAGGUUCAAUUCCUAUGAUUUUUCUUGUUACUGAUGGGUCUGUUGAAGAUGAGAGAAACAUUUGUCACUGGAUGCAAAAGCGUUUGACAAAUCAAGGAGUGUUAUGUCCAUCCAUCCAUACUUUCGGCAUAGGUAAUUUUCACGUGUUAGGGUCUCCUUUCGAUUUCCUUUAAGUUCACUGAAUUUAGUUCUCAUUGUUGUUGACCGACGCCAGCUUGUUCAGUUAGUUCUUUGCACCGUAAUUGUUAGUUAACUUGUUGCGUGGGAAAUGGGAAUGUUUCAGGUUCAUUCUGUAAUCAUUAUUUCCUGCGCAUGCUUGCCAUGAUUGGCCGGGGGGAAUAUGGUGCUGCUUUCGAUUUAGGUCUGUAUGCACUUUGACAUUUUACAUUUGAACUUCAAGCCAAGCAAAUAUUUGGAAUUCCUAAAUUCUACGAGCAUAAGUCUGAACCAUAGGCUAAAUCCUUAAAUUGUGAGGAUAUGGUCAUAUUUCAUUAAUCUUACUAAUUAUUUUUUCUGUUCUUUCAGAUUCUAUUGAGGUUCAGAUGAAUAAAUUAUUUAGCAAAGGUUUAUCUACUGUUCUCGCAAACAUCACCAUUGAUGCAUUUGAUGAUUGUGAAGAAAUAGAGGUAUGUUCGUCCCCCCCUGUAUCAGUUUCAUUCACAUACGGCAUCCUAUUUACCUCAUAUCUGCCUUUCUAUGUUUUAUUUACCUGAAUAUCACUGAUGUACAUCAUGAUGGUUAUUAUGUAUGCCUAAUUGCUCGGACUCGUUGCUUUUUUGCAACAGCCAUUCCAAUUUAGGUUCUCUUCUAAUUUGGGUUUCUUUACAAUGUCCGCGACAGGUGUACUCUUCACGGAUUCCUGACCUUUCACUUGAAAGUCCAUUGACCAUAUACGGGAGGUACCAGGGCAGUUUUCCCGACAACCUUAAAGUUAAAGGUAUAUUAGGUGAUUUGAGUAGCUUUACAAUGGACUUGAAGAUACGGAGGGCUAAGGAUAUACCUCUUGACAGCGUAAGACACAUACUAGUCAGCUGGUUUUAUCAAUAUAGUUUCCUUUGUGGGUGUGUCAUGCGUUAAAGACCCUUUAAUGUUUAUUAUCUUCCACUGGGUUGUUUGUAGUGCUAGGGUUUGACAUCAUCAUUGCUUAUUGCAAUACUAACUGCCGCUUUUCAUCGAUGGUUUAUAUAUGUUUUACCUGUAUACGUGAAUGACUAGCGCAUGGAAGUACUUCAUAAUUUCCUGUUUUCUCUAACAGGUGUUAGCAAGACGGCAGAUUGAUCUACUAACAGCUCAGGCUUGGUUUUCAGAAAAUAAACGGCUCGAGGAGAAGGUUUGUUUCUAAAUAUUCUAGCAUUUGUUUUUCAUCCAAAAUCGGUGGGAGAAUGCUUUUGGAUUGCAACUACUAUGAUUCGAGUAGUAGCAAUGUGAAAAGUUGUUAUGGAUAAUAUUAUAGCCCGGGGUAUAGAUUCGUGACUGUGCCGUAUCAUUUACCAGCGAUGUGAAAAGUUAUUAUGGAAAUACCCUUUACUAAUUGCUCAGUGGCCACUUAAACUAGACUGCGUGAUUGGGAAUGUGUUCGAUUUGUUUCACUCGUUUGGAUCUCCUCAUUUCUUAGUAGUAAAAAAACUGUUGCUAAUGCUAAUGAUUUUGUUGUUGGCAGGUUGCAAAGUUGAGCAUACAAACUUGCAACAUCUCCGAGUAUACCCGAAUGACCCUUCUCGAGAAAAAUAUAAUGAAACAUUUUGGAGCUUGGAAGGUAUGCUUUUGCCUCGUAUAAUACGACACCCUGGUAUAUAUCACUAUAGUUUCUAAACAGAGUAUGGUAUGCCGGGGUUUCUUCGUUUAUUUUCAUAUUUUCUCUACAAACAUUGCUAAGGCUGCUUUCUCAUUCCCUGUUAAUGUUUUUGGCAUGCCAGAAGAAAGGUGAUCCACAGAAAAUCGUGGAAUCUGGACCGCCCGAAAUGAUACUGCUUCAAAGACUUUCAGUUGGCUUCGGUGACCAGAUUGCAACUGCCAAAAACAUUCGUCCUGGAUCUCAAGAACCAGAAUUGCCCGAAGUUGCCAAGAUAUUUAUUAAGACAACCUCGAAUUACUUCGGUGGGAUAUGUAAUCGAUGCUGUUGCAUGGGCUGCAUCCGGUGUUGUUCGAAGAUGAAUAAUCAAUGUGCCACCACGUUAACACAGCUAUGCACCGCCCUGGCAUGCAUCGGCUGCCUUCAUUGUUGCUCAGAAUCAUGUUGUCCUAACCAAGACGAUUGAUAAACACAUUACGAGAAUUAGUUGGAGUUUUUGUUUGAAUCUGGUUGCUCGAUUUUAUAGUUCAUACAACAUCGUCCACAACCUGUUUGUAUAUACAAAAUUUGUUUUAAAAUGAAUUAUUAAUUUAUAAAGAAUUUGUCAAAAAAAAUUAUGUAUAAAGAAU
rnacentral:lncRNA from 1 species